GCAAUGAAAGGCAAUGGAUUGGUCUUCUAAUUGAAUUAAUUUCAAUAGAAUUGGGCAAUAGCGAUGUGUCACAGGGUCGGCUGCUGAGUCAUUAUCACCACCUAGUUUUCAACCAUAACCUACACAGGGAGUGCAGAUGAACCACCGGCACCCCAAAAACCAAAAACAAAAAAAAAAGGAAGAAGAGGGACGAUCGAUAAUAGUGAGAUAUCCAGUCUUUCAAUCUACUAUCUAUGCUAGCCCAAAUUUAAUUAUUAAGGAACAAAAAAAAAAGAGCAAGAUCGGCGAAUUUGUUCAUGGACUGCUCAUCCAUUUAUGCCCUCACCACCCACCUCUCCCGGACCCUCUUCGGCAACCGCCCGUUUCAGCUGAAGUCCAGCUCCCAAACGAGGACCUCGAUUCACUCAUCUCCGUCACCACUGAUCACGACCUCCAGAAUAUGCUGGAAGAGCACGACUGCAUCUCCGCCGUUACAUCCCCUACACCAUCCUGCAUCAGAUUAUUUCUCUUCCCCAUAAAGCCAGAGUCUCCGAGUUCAGCGCUUCUUGAUCCGAAAGUUGACUCGUGGUUUUCUGAUGCUCUGAAUAACACGAAGAUUGUUUAGAGGGGUCAGUCUGCUGAUGCUGCUGGUUUGGGUCAGGGACUAAUGGGUUUGGAUAUUUUGGGUAGAUCGGAUUGUAAUGCAGCCUUGGAGAAUCCAGCUGAAAGCAUGAGUAAUAAUGGUGCUGAGGCUAAGGAAAUCAGUGGGGCUGUGCCGGAAUCGUUGGUAUUAGAGAGUAGCUCGUCCUUUGGGUCAACUACUUCUUCAAUUUCAAUGUCAAAUGAAGGCCAGCUGUUGGAUCCAUUGUGAGGAUGGGAGCUUCAGUUUGUUCGAGAGGAAGCUCAGAGUACCCUCCUAAGCUUUUUGUUUUUCAAGAGUGGGACCAAAGCUGAGGCUCUAUUAUUCUUUCCACUGACUGAACUCUCGGAUAUUUAUAACGCUUAAGGCAACAGAACAGCGUACACAGACCAAACGGAGCCGUCAAAGAUAACUUUCCCAGGUGAGCAGCAGACUCAACCUCCGGCCAUUGGCCUGAGGCCUCAAUCAUCGCACGGAGCAAUUUCCAACUGCAUGGCGAAAAAGAGAGCAGACCCUUCUCUUGGUAAAAUGCUUUGACUUUUAAGGUUUGUUAUGUAUUUCAAUUUUUCUGCUAAUAAGUUAAAUAGUACUGUAAUACUCCCUCCCUUUUUUUAAAACUGACGUUUAAGGUUUUACACACCAAUUAAGAAAAGUUUUUCAUUGC